rnacentral:rRNA from 1 species
AUUGAACGCUGGCGGCAUGCCUAACACAUGCAAGUCGAGCGAGCGACGGGCAGGUGAGUAAGGUCUGGGAACCCGCCGGUUGGAUGGGGAUAACUACGGGAAACGGUAUGUAAUACCGCAUACAAGCAGAUGUGCCCAGAGGGGAUUAGCUAGUAGGUGGGGUAAUGGCUCACCUAGGUGACGAUCCAUAGCUGGCCUGAGAGGAUGACCAGCCACACUGGAACUGAGACACGGUCCAGACUCCUACGGGAGGCAGCAGUGGGGAAUAUUCGACAAUGGGCGAAAGCCUGAUCGAGCCAUGCCGCGUGUGUGAAGAAGGUCUUCGGGUUGUAAAGCACUUUCAGUGGGGAGGCGGUACCCGAAGAAGAAGCAACGGCUAACUCCGUGCCAGCAGCCGCGGUAAUAC